GCAUAUCAAUAAGCGGAGGAAAAGAAACCAACAGGGAUUGCCUCAGUAACGGCGAGUGAAGCGGCAAAAGCUCAAAUUUGAAAUCUAGUACCUUCGGUGCUCGAGUUGUAAUUUGAAGAUGGUAACUUUGGAGUUGGCCCUUGUCUAUGUUCCUUGGAACAGGACGUCACAGAGGGUGAGAAUCCCGUCUGACGAGGUGAUCCAACUCUAUGUAAAGUGCUAUCGAAGAGUCGAGUUGUUUGGGAAUGCAGCUCUAAGUGGGUGGUAAAUUCCAUCUAAAGCUAAAUAUUGGCGAGAGACCGAUAGCGAACAAGUACAGUGAUGGAAAGAUGAAAAGAACUUUGAAAAGAGAGUGAAAAAGUACGUGAAAUUGUUGAAAGGGAAGGGUAUUAGAUCAGACUUGGCGUUUUAUGAUUAUCUUCCCUUCUUGGGUUGUGCACUCGUAUUGCGCUGGGCCAGCAUCGAUUCGGAUGGCAGGAUAAUGGCAAUUGAAUGUGGCAUCCACUUCGGUGUAUGUGUUAUAGCUUUUGUUGAUGCUGCCUAUCUGGAUCGAGGACUGCGUCUUUUGACUAGGAUGUUGGCGUAAUGAUCUAAUAUCGCCCGUCUUGAAACACGGACCAAGGAGUCUAACGUCUAUGCGAGUGUUUGGGUGUAAAACCCGUACGCGUAAUGAAAGUGAACGUAGAUGAGAGCCCUUUUGGGGGUGCAUCAUCGACCGAUCCUGAUGUUUUCGGAUGGAUUUGAGUAAGAGCAUAGCUGUUGGGACCCGAAAGAUGGUGAACUAUGCCUGAAUAGGGUGAAGCCAGAGGAAACUCUGGUGGAGGCUCGUAGCGGUUCUGACGUGCAAAUCGAUCGUCGAAUUUGGGUAUAGGGGCGAAAGACUAAUCGAACCAUCUAGUAGCUGGUU
rnacentral:rRNA from 1 species